GUUUAUUGGCAUUUCUUUAAACCAAUCAAGGCAACCGUGCCUCUGCAAAAUAGCCUCAAACUUCUUUUGGUGGAACGCGUACGUUCGAAAGUUGUUUUAGUCGUGCAACAGAAAACUCAGAAACUACAGACAGUCUAGCUAGCUGUCUAGAUUUACCCUGCAGAGAUCUGAGGAGCAGUUAACCAGAGCGCCAUCACAAAAGAAAGAGGAAGGUGAUGGACAUUCGGCCGAAAUGAAAGACAUCCGGCGGAAUUUGCUGCGGCUCCUGAACAAUCCCAGAAGUGGAACGUCGUGGAUAUAGACUAUAAAAUUAGUGAAAUGAAAUUGGGUUCUAUGUGAUCAAGCGUUACAAUAUUACAAAUCGGACCAGAUAUUUGAUGCAAACCUAUGGUACUUUGCCCAGUUUCCCAAACUCGUUGCAUAAGACACGUUUCAGUCGCUGACUGUGACCUUUGACCCUUCAUCUGUUCUUCAUGAGUUUCUGUCAACCUCCCUCUGACCUCAGCCCGUCUGCAGUGUACUGCUUAGAAUGGUGAAUUCCAUCGUCAUUUAAACUGUCAUCUGAUACCUCCAUUGUGCAAUAGAUAUUGUUUAUUUUUUAUUGUUGUUAUGUGUAUCCUGUGAAACCAGUCGGAUGUUUUGUUGAUAUGUAGUGUAUGUUUUUAAUAUAAUUAUUUAUGCACCAGCAUCCACCAACCAACCACUCCUCUGUCCCGACUUUUUGUAGGAAGUCAGAAUCUACACACCUUUCAUUUCAAAAUGCUUUUUUAUUUUUUUUAUUUAAUUUGGGGAAAGCAAAUGGUAACGUUCAUUACUCAAUAUGUUUUAAUUUAAUCAGCAAUGUUAGCAGUUAAAACAUUUUAAACAUUAUGUUAAAAGGAUGAAUGAUGAACAACAACAAAAUAUUUCUCAGUUUUCAUAUGCAUUUUAUUUCUCUCACAAUGGUGGAUGUUUCAUUUUGGUAUAAAAGCCUUUGUCUUAAUGACAUACUAAUGCUUGAUAGUAAGAAGCCCAACCUGAUUCUGGACUGUUCAUUCUACUUUCACUUUCUUCUUUUCUUCCUUAAAGCUUCUUGGAUUUUUCUUUUUCUGCCUUCAACUGCCCUUCCUCCCACGUAGGCAAAAUACUCUGAGCUGUCUUUAUUAAGAUGCAUACAAUGUGUAUACAGUCUGUAUAGUAAUAUGUCUGUCAUAUUUGUCCUAUAAAAAGUAAAGAAGAAAAAGUAAACUUGAGAAGGACCCAUAUGGAGGAUUGCUUACAGUUACACUAAUCGCCGAAGGAGAGAACAGUGAUCCUCUCCACAUGGUCUGUACUGUUUACUACAAUAAAUAUUUCAGUUGAAUGAGAA